rnacentral:rRNA from 1 species
UACGUAGGUGGCAAGCGUUGUCCGGAUUUACUGGGCGUAAAGCGCGUGUAGGCGGCCCGAUAAGUCCGCUGUGAAAGUCCAGGGCUCAACCCUGGGAUGCCGGUGGAUACUGUCGGGCUCGAGUCCGGAAGAGGCGAGUGGAAUUCCUGGUGUAGCGGUGAAAUGCGCAGAUAUCAGGAGGAACACCAAUGGCGAAGGCAGCUCGCUGGGACGUGACUGACGCUGAGACGCGAAAGCGUGGGGAGCAAACAGG